AUUGAGGUAGCCAGGUUGGUAAAGGCGUCGGCAGUACAGAUGCUGAAAGUAGCAGGUUUAAAUCCUGUCUACGGUG